GAUAGCCCGGAGAAAUCCGGAUUAAUAUCCCAUAGUAUAAUUGAAUGGCAUCAUUUAAUUAUUAAAGAUUUAUCGGUACAAGAUGAGCAUGCGUCCCAUUAGCUAGUUGGUAUGGUAACGGCAUACCAAGGCAAUGAUGGGUAGGGGUCCUGAGAGGGAGAUCCCCCACACUGGUACUGAGACACGGACCAGACUCCUACGGGAGGCAGCAGUGAGGAAUAUUGGUCAAUGGAGGCAACUCUGAACCAGCCAUGCCGCGUGCAGGAUGACGGUCCUAUGGAUUGUAAACUGCUUUUAUACAGGAAGAAACCCUACUACGUGUAGUAGACUGACGGUACUGUAAGAAUAAGGAUG
rnacentral:rRNA from 1 species